UUAAGCGAAACCAGUUAUCAGUUUUCAUAAUGUUUUCCUCUGAUGCAGGAGUCUUUCUGGCAUCUUUUCUUUUUUAUUUGCUUUUUUCUUCAUCUGAAAUUUUACUGUUUUGUUGUUUGUUUGUUUUUUGCAUGGGUCCUUUCUUGGAGCUUGAACACGAGAAAACAUAUUUGUCAAUUGGCAAAAAAAGGGAGCAUCCAUCAAAUGUGGUGGCAAGAAACCCAAUCCUAUUUCAGUUAUCUGGCUGUAAUCAUCGACCUGACCGCUGUCCAGUCCUGUUCUCUGGUGACCUGACACCACUCCUGCGUAAUUCGCCUGCUACCCUUGCCGAAUGGCCGGACGCGACUCCUGCGAGUUACCUACAGCCAUUGGGAACAUACACGGAACAAGCAUAAAGCCACCUUGAAGCUAAAACAAGACCAAGAACUGUCUCAGGACACACGGGCAGCCUCGAUGGACUUCGGUGGUUCUGCUGUGCGGAAACGUUGGCGAUCUUCCACAUUAUCUGCUCUUCUGCCAUCUGUCAGUGACAACUACCAUCAAUCCCAGGCAGACACUAGCUAAAUACCAUCGAAAACGCACUUCACAGCUGCUACAACUCUUACCAAUCACACUAUCAAACAAAUGCCUGCAGCUGUUGAGGGGAAAAAAAAAAACACCUUGGGGUCCCUGCAGCUUCAUAAGCCAGCAAGGUUCAACCAUCCUCUCAUCGCCAUUCAGAAUAAAACAGCGAGAAGUUGGAGUGCGAUCAUCAGCCGCAGCAGAAACGAUUUUAAGAGAGGCCUCUUCAACUUUAUAGCCGCCAUGCCUGUCGUAAGCAUUCUUGUGUUGCCUUUUUUUCUACUUAAUCGAAAGUUUAGACAUUGGGGGAUAUGCUAAGACAUGUGUGCUUGGUAGUGGCUAUAUCACACGACCAGAUACUAUUUUCAAGAGCCGCUCGCUGCCAGAUGCUUUUCUAGUUAUUAUAGUAAGCUAAAACGUUUGUUUUAUGUUUGUUUUCUUCUUUUGCCCUCUGUGGCAUGUCAUGAGUGAAGAUACACGUCUCUUAAAUCAGCCUGUCCGUUUAUUAACUUUAUUUUAUCUGUGCCAAGGAGACGCUGAGUUUGUAAGCCCAGGAGCUUAGUGAGAAUGUUGCA